rnacentral:lncRNA from 1 species
GGUGGAAGUUGGUGGUGACGAGAGCGAGCAGGACGUCAAGGUGAACUCCGUGAACUACGACGGCAUUGCGAGCUCGAGGUGGUCACUAUAGGUUGAUAAAAGAUAGUAGAUCUUGUCAAACAAGAACUAGGGAUCGAAAGAAGUCAAACUACAGAAGAUGGAGGCCCGGGAUGGCUCACAGGCGUCGGAAUCUGGCGAUGAACUGCAGCUUCUGCGGCAAGAUCCAAACGACUAGCGCGAGAC